UACGGGGGGGGCAAGCGUUGUUCGGAAUUACUGGGCGUAAAGGGCUCGUAGGCGGCCAACUAAGUCAGAUGUGAAAUCCCCAGGCUUAACCUGGGAACUGCAUCUGAUACUGGAUGGCUUGAAUCCGGGAGAGGGAUGCAGAAUUCCAGGUGUAGCGGUGAAAUGCGUAGAUAUCUGGAGGAAUACCGGUGGCGAAGGCGGCAUCCUGGACCGGCAUUGACGCUGAUGAGCGAAAGCUAGGGGAGCAAACGGG
rnacentral:rRNA from 1 species